CUAAGGUUCGAUGGCGACCGGCGCACGGGUGAGUAACACGUAUCCAACCUGCCGAUGACUCGGGGAUAGCCUUUCGAAAGAAAGAUUAAUACCCGAUGGCAUAGUUCUUCCGCAUGGUGGAACUAUUAAAGAAUUUCGGUCAUCGAUGGGGAUGCGUUCCAUUAGGUUGUUGGCGGGGUAACGGCCCACCAAGCCUUCGAUGGAUAGGGGUUCUGAGAGGAAGGUCCCCCACAUUGGAACUGAGACACGGUCCAAACUCCUACGGGAGGCAGCAUG
rnacentral:rRNA from 1 species